CUUUUUCAAAAUGUGGCGGUGGCAGGGAAGGUUGUCUGCUCCAGAGGCUUCCCUAGAGUGAAGAGCUCUACUAUGUAUGCUUUAUGCGGCAGAAGGAGUGCUUUGGAGGAGUUUUUAAAUUUGUUUUUUUUUUAAAUCUUAUCGGUUUUAAUUGUAGCAAUGAUUCAAGAAACGUUAGUAGGUGCCCAUAACUUCGGUGGUGGAGAUCCAAAAGUGAACAAGACAGUGUUCUGGCUGCUAAAUUCUUCUUAACUGGUUAUGCCUGGAGACCUUCACUUGGUUCUGUGCCAGCACUGCCCAUGAACUUCAUAGACUGUGAUCUUUGCUAAGGCCUAAAUGAAUGAAGUGCAGGUGCAGGACCGGAAGCAGAAGACAGAAAGUGGAGACCAGAUGUUUGAAGCUGGGUAAAGGCAGGGAUGGAGCAGGAACCGAGGAACAAACCUUGGAACUAGGUAAGUUUCCUGAGGCCUUCCCAGAAGUAGAAGCCUGCACAGUCCACAGAACUGUGAGUCAAUUAAACCUUUUUUCUUUAUAAAUUA
rnacentral:lncRNA from 1 species